rnacentral:rRNA from 1 species
CCUACGGGGUGCAGCAGUGGGGAAUAUUGCACAAUGGGGGAAACCCUGAUGCAGCGACGCCGCGUGAGUGAAGAAGUAAUUCGUUAUGUAAAGCUCUAUCAGCAGGGAAGAAAAUGACGGUACCUGAGUAAGAAGCCCCGGCUAACUACGUGCCAGCAGCCGCGGUAAUACGUAGGGGGCAAGCGUUAUCCGGAUUUACUGGGUGUAAAGGGAGCGUAGACGGCAGUGCAAGUCUGGAGUGAAAGGCGGGGGCUCAACCCCCGGAGUGCUCUGGAAACUGUACGGCGGGAGUGCAGGAGGGGUAAGUGGAAUGCGGGGUGUAGCGGUUAAAGGCGUAGAGAUGAGGAAGAACACCAGUGGAGAAGGCGGCAGACUGGAGUGUAAAUGACGUGGAGGAUCGAAAGCGUGGGGAGCAAACAGGAUUAGAUACCCGAGUAGUC